UACGUAGGGUGCGAGCGUUGUCCGGAAUUAUUGGGCGUAAAGGGCUCGUAGGCGGUUUGUCGCGUCUGCUGUGAAAACGCGGGGCUCAACUCCGCGCCUGCAGUGGGUACGGGCAGACUAGAGUGCAGUAGGGGAGACUGGAAUUCCUGGUGUAGCGGUGGAAUGCGCAGAUAUCAGGAGGAACACCGGUGGCGAAGGCGGGGUCUCUGGGCUGUAACUGACGCUGAGGAGCGAAAGCGUGGGUAGCGAACAGG
rnacentral:rRNA from 1 species